CCGGUUUCUCGGCAACAGGCAACGUGGUCCUCUCUCUCUUUUCAGGACUUAUUAAAACAACGAUAUUGAACCAUUAUAAUGGCUCUCUUGGUAAAAACACUGAAGAAAAAAAGAUGCCGAGUAAGGCCAUUUAAUUCUGUUGAUACUGCCGAUAUUUUCACAAAAAGAGGAGAUGGAAUGAGUUCAUUCAUUUCCUUAUUGCAACAGCUGGCAGAAUUGACAUGAGAAGGGGGAAUUAAAAAGGUGGUGUGUUUGGGUGUGUUUGGAGGCCUCUGCGAAGAGUCUGGAUGCUCCUGUCACUGUGCUGCAGUGGACCUGUGGAGGAGGAAAUAAAACUUUCAGUGGAAGAAACGUCACCAUUAUUGCAUGGCCAAAGCUCCGUUCGUCCAUAUUCUUCAUAGAGAUGAUCAUUUUUGAUGAAUUGAUGACCAAGAAUUCUUGGACGAACAUUUGAAGCCAAGUUUAAAGCCUCAGAAGAUGGAUAUACUUCCCCUCAAAUCUGCUCGACAUGUCCGUCCCACUGACAGAAUGUGAUGUGUACUGGUCAAGGAACUUUAUUACUACUGUGCACUCAGGAGAACACACCGUGCCCAAGCUUUUGGGUGACUGACCUUUUGCUUUGACCCUCUGGACAGCACGAUCUUGACUUUUGCCAAACCUGACAAAGGCCAUAUACACUUAUGGAUCACCUUGAAUGUCAAGAACACUUAAAUGAGCAAAGAGGGAGUUUCAUCUAUUGCACGAAACGGACCUAAGUUGGUUAAGGUCAAUGCAAGCUGUCAUCAACAGCCGUUCAACUUGAAGAGAAAAAAAGCACUGUACCAGUGAAGUGUCCUUAAGAUAUAUACGGGUACUAUUGUUUCAAAUAUUGAUUAAUGUUAAUAACCGUUUUGAUGAGCUUAUGCACUUAUUG